rnacentral:lncRNA from 1 species
CCCGCCCCUUAUCACGUCAUUCUACAUUGAAUAUGACGUCACCAAUCCCGCCUGUGACGUCACCGGGGAGGGACGGAAACCUGCGGCGGCGGAGGGGAGCGCUGUGACGUCACAACCUGUCCGCCGCCGCUUCCCCGGACAUCGCGGGGUGUGCGUGACGUCACGGGUUGAGGGGGCGGGUUGCUGUGACGUCACGGCGCUCCCGGCAGCCCCCGCGGCCAUGGCGGGGGGGGGUCCCUGGGCCCGGCUCGCGGCCGCGCUCGCGCCCCCCGCGCCCCCCGCCCUGCGCCGGCCCCGCCCCUCCGCACGUCAUCAGACGGAGCUGCUGCUGCUGCUGCUCGAUUCCCCGCCGCUCCCUGAGCGCUGCCCGCUCGGGGCCGCUCCCGGUUCCGAUGGCGCCGCUCCCGGUUCCGAUCCCGGUGCCGCUCUGCUGGCGCUGCUCUCGGAGCCCGCCCCGGGUCCGCCCCGCUCUCUCCUGCUCGUGGCCGCGCUCUCGGUGCUCGCGGCCCGCGGGGACCGCGCGGGGCUGGCGGCGCUGGCGGCGCUGCUGCAGCGACCGGGAACGGCGGGGACGGCGCCGGCGGCGGCGGCGGAGUGCGAGCGGGAGCUGCGGCGGAUCGCGGCCGCCACCGGGAGCACCGGGACCCCCGGGAACACCGGGAACACCGGGAGCCCCACCGGGACCGACACCGGGACCCCCGGGCAGGGCUGCCCCGCGCCGCAGCCGCUGCUGCUGCUGAGGGCGGAGGGGGCGGCAGGUGAGUGGGGGGGUCCCAGUAAGGACUGGGAGGGUCCCAGUGGGUCCCAGUGGGUCCCAGUAAGGACUGGGAGGCUCCCAGUGGGUCCCAGUAAGGGUUAUGAGGAUCCUGGUCGGUCCCAGUAAGAGUUGGGAGAAUCCCAGUGGGUCCCAGUAAAGCCUGAAGGGGUCCCAGUAUGGACUGGGAGGGGGACCAGUCAGUCCCAGUACGGGCUAUGAGGAUCCUGGUCGGUCCUAGUAAGGUUUGGGGGGGUCCCAGUAAGGACUGGGGGGUUCCCAGUGUGUCCCAGUAAGAACUGGGAG